CAUAAUUGGGCUGAUGUGUCGAGGUCUCAGUGAAUGAGAAAUACAUUGAAUGAAAAACGCUCAUCAUAGCAAUCACAAUUCUUUUAUCCUGCUGUGUGAAUGAAAAUCAAGACUCUUUUUAUAUUAUCUUUGUGCAGUUUCUCACCGUCAUCUCUCUGGCUCUUGGGCAUGUUUACGUCGUAGGGGUAAAUGCCAGUUUUUCGGUUGUCCUUGAUGGACGAGGCGUAUUGGACGCUGCGGUAGAUUUUUUCCCUGCUGUAGAUAGUGGUGAGCAAUGGCAUCAGAGAUUGUCAAUGCAGACCUCUGGGAAUCUGGCAGAUGAUGCCUUGCUUCUAAAAUCCUUGGAUCCUUUUCAUCUGGACUGUAAAGAAUCUUGUGAGCUGGAAAAAAUCCAUGGGGGAGCCCUUGUGUCACCCAUAAUAGCUUGUUUUUCUCCUUUUAAUAAAAGUAACUGGUUGUGGUGGUGUACUGCAAA